rnacentral:rRNA from 1 species
UAGGGAAUCUUCGGCAAUGGACGAAAGUCUGACCGAGCAACGCCGCGUGAGUGAAGAAGGUUUUCGGAUCGUAAAACUCUGUUGUUAGAGAAGAACAAGGACGUUAGUAACUGAACGUCCCCUGACGGUAUCUAACCAGAAAGCCACGGCUAACUACGUGCCAGCAGCCGCGGUAAUACGUAGGUGGCAAGCGUUGUCCGGAUUUAUUGGGCGUAAAGCGAGCGCAGGCGGUUUCUUAAGUCUGAUGUGAAAGCCCCCGGCUCAACCGGGGAGGGUCAUUGGAAGCUGGGAGACUUGGGUGCAGAAGAGGAGAGUGGAAUUCCAUGUGUAGCGGUGAAAUGCGUAGAUAUAUGGAGGAACACCAGUGGCGAAGGCUGCUCUCAGGACUGUAACUGACGCUGAGGCUCGAAAGCGUGGGGAGCAAACAGG